AUUGAACGCUGGCGGAAUGCUUUACACAUGCAAGUCGAACGGCAGCAUAGGUGCUUGCACCUGAUGGCGAGUGGCGAACGGGUGAGUAAUACAUCGGAACGUGCCCAGUCGUGGGGGAUAACGUAGCGAAAGUUACGCUAAUACCGCAUACGAUCUAAGGAUGAAAGCGGGGGACCGUAAGGCCUUGCGCGAUUGGAGCGGCCGAUGUCAGAUUAGGUAGUUGGUGAGGUAAAGGCUCACCAAGCCGACGAUCUGUAGCUGGUCUGAGAGGACGACCAGCCACACUGGGACUGAGACACGGCCCAGACUCCUACGGGAGUCAGCAGUGGGGAAUUUUGGACAAUGGACGCAAGUCUGAUCCAGCCAUUCCGCGUGCAGGACGAAGGCCUUCGGGUUGUAAACUGCUUUUGUACGGAACGAAAAAGCUCUUACUAAUACUAGGAGUCCAUGACGGUACCGUGAGAAUAAGCACCGGCUAACUACGUGCCAGCAGCCGCGGUAA
rnacentral:rRNA from 1 species